CUGGAAGUGAUGCAGAUGUUCAGAACCUGAUGUGAACUGAUGGUUUUCGUAUUCAUACUGUCUGAUCCAG